UGGGCUUGCACUAGGAGCUCUGCAACGUAGAAUAUCAGUCAAGAAUCAUCUAAAAGUGCCUACUGAGGCAUAAAUUUCUGUCUUCUUACUGGAAUCUGUCUGGGCUUCAUUCUCAUACGUGGCCGUUUUCGUUGGACGACAGAGGGGCAGCAUCUGGAAAGUGUAGAUACGAUUCCACCUACGUAUGAUGAUGAUGAUGAUGCUACACAAUCUCAAUACUGCUUCAACAAGUUCAAGACUCAGGUGUGUCGGACUUGUGAGGCGUCCUUGAUGUUGUCUUCCCUUUGGAACUGAAGAUGUGUGCAGCCGAGGAUUCGUCAGAUAUUUCUGCAGGCCUGUCACUGUUUGACCUUCCUGUCGAGAGAGGCUGACCUUGGUGUGGAGAUAGAUGGAGUGAUCGCCGUGCUGUAGAGAAAGGACGACCACCCUGAGGAGAGUGGCUCCCCAGUAUACAGUGCUGCAGAGAGAGGCUGACUACCAUUCUAUGCAUGCUGCAGAGAGAAGCUGACUACCAUUCUAUGCAGUAGAGAGAGGCUGACUACCAUUCUAUGCUGUAGAGAGGCUGACUACCAUUCUAUGCUGCAGAGAGAGGCUGACUACCUUUCUAUGCAUGCUGUAGAGAGGCUGACUACCAUUCUAUGCAUGCUGUAGAGAGGCUGACUACCAUUCUAUGCUGCAGAGAGGCUGUCUACCAUUCUAUGCUGCAGAGAGGCUGACUACCAUUCUAUGCGGUAGAGAGGCUGCCCGGUAUUCUGUGCUGUAGGGAGAGAGACCUGCUUUCUAGGUUAUAGAGAGAGACAAACUUUUGUGUUGGAGAGAGAUACCAUCUUUCUAUGUCAUAGAAAGGGAGACACAGACUGACAGAUCAGCGCAUGUGUUGAAAAAAAAAAUUUUAUUGGGGAGGUUUUUCUCAACACAUACGUUUAUUUUCUUAAUUAUAUGACAAAUUUAAUGUCUCCGUGGUUCAAUUUCAGUUGUUCAAAAUAUUUUUGAAAGUUGGUACCAAAAUGAUAAAGUUAUUGCUCUUGACA